AUACGGAGGAUGCGAGCGUUAUCCGGAUUUAUUAGGUUUAAAGGGUGUGUAGGCGGUAUUUUAAGUCGGUGGUGAAAUCUCGGAGCUUAACUUCGAAACUGCCAUUGAUACUGGAAUACUUGAGUAUAGUUGAGGUAGGCGGAAUAUGUAAUGUAGCGGUGAAAUGCAUAGAUAUUACAUAGAACACCGAUUGCGAAGGCAGCUUACUAAACUAUUACUGACGCUGAUGCACGAAAGCGUGGGGAGCGAACAGGAUUAGAAACCCCGGUAGUCC
rnacentral:rRNA from 1 species